rnacentral:rRNA from 1 species
GACGAACGCUGGCGGCGUGCUUAACACAUGCAAGUCGAACGGAAAGGCCCUGCUUGCAGGGUCCUCGAGUGGCGAACGGGUGAGUAACACGUGGGUGAUCUGCCCUACACUUCGGGAUAAGCCUGGGAAACUGGGUCUAAUACCGGAUAGGAGCCAUUUUUAGUGUGAUGGUUGGAAAGUUUUUUCGGUGUAGGAUGAGCUCGCGGCCUAUCAGCUUGUUGGUGGGGUAAUGGCCUACCAAGGCGGCGACGGGUAGCCGGCCUGAGAGGGUGGACGGCCACCUGGGGGCUGGGGUACGGCCCAGACUCCUCCGGGAGGCAGGGGUGGGGAAUUUUGCCCAAUGGGCGCAAGCCUGAUGCAGCGACCCCGCGUGGGGGAUGACGGCCUUCGGGUUGUAAACUCCUUUCGCUAGGGACGAAGCUUUUUGUGGCGGUACCUAGAUAAGAAGCACCGGCUAACUACG